AUUGAACGCUGGCGGCAGGCCUAACACAUGCAAGUCGAGCGGAUGAAGGGAGCUUGCUCCUGGAUUCAGCGGCGGACGGGUGAGUAAUGCCUAGGAAUCUGCCUGGUAGUGGGGGAUAACGUCCGGAAACGGGCGCUAAUACCGCAUACGUCCUGAGGGAGAAAGUGGGGGAUCUUCGGACCGCACGCUAUCAGAUGAGCCUAGGUCGGAUUAGCUAGUUGGUGGGGUAAAGGCCUACCAAGGCGACGAUCCGUAACUGGUCCGAGAGGAUGAUCAGUCACACUGGAACUGAGACACGGUCCAGACUCCUACGGGAGGCAGCAGUGGGGAAUAUUGGGCAAUGGGCGAAAGCCUGAUCCAGCCAUGCCGCGUGUGUGAAGAAGGUCUUCGGAUUGUAAAGCACUUUAAGUUGGGAGGAGGGGCAGUAAGUUAAUACCUUGCUGUUUUGACGUUACCAACAGAAUAAGCACCGGCUAACUUCGUG
rnacentral:rRNA from 1 species